UCCAAAGUAACGUAACACUUUAAUAGUUGAAAAAAUAACAGCCAAUACUGUACAAUUGGCAACACGUACACUGUACAAAUGUCUCUCCGAUAACAACGUUCCGCAGUAUCAACUCUUGCACUGGCCUCUCCGUCUCGUUCCGGGCUUGCACUGGGUUCAACAGUUCAGGACUGACUUCACACACUAGGCUUGUUGUGUCGGACUCGAUCGCAGACCAAGAUCAAGACGCCAGCCGUCUCAACUGUACUUGACAGUACUCCGCACUGAACCGUCGUAAUGCUCCGUACAGAACCACACCGCUGAACUGUGCUGUAGUCGACCGGACUGUAGUGAACCGGGCUCUGAACCCCUGACGUGAACCGUCUUGACUGCGACACCUCCGCUCUUAUAUAGGGUCCCUACUGGCCUUCUCGAACCGGACAGAACGCCGCUCGGCGUUUCUAGGUGGUCAGAUGACUACAACUCUUGUGACGCUCCUGAGCUCUGUUCACGACGUCGAUCCUUCUCAGACCGCCGUCGAUCCUUCCCGAACCGCCGUGUUGACACUCGUCUCGGCUGACAGUCGUAACUCGUCACGGUUGACCGCUCGUCUAGCGCUGGCCUGGGGCGAUUUGCGUCGGCUGACUACACACACUCCACUACCCCCAUCUGUGCCACCACCAGGUUUAUAACAAUAUAUAGAUAUGAUGGCAGUCUGGUUGUGCAGUAUGCGCACUGGACUGUCUUUCGGUCAUUGUGAUGGUCCCGGGUUUAUAUCUGACCUCUGUCAUUUCCUGUUGUCUUGCAGGUUUGGACUAGGAAGUAGAUUAUCUUCAACAUCCAAAACAUGUAUAACAUUUUACAAACUUAUACAAGUGUGUGUGAUGUGAAUAAACUGGAGUACACAUUAGGAAAACACUAUGAAGUCUAUGCCUCCACAUAACGAAGGGCAAGACUGACAUGCCUCGUCAACAAUUUUUCAUGGAUUGCUGCAUUAUUAGAAGAAACAUUCCAGAAAAUUGAGACAAUGUGUCAGCACUAUAUUUUCUUGAAGAAAAAAUAAUAUCAUUUCCUUUUUAAUUGGAGGGAAAGAAAUAUGCUAAGAAACAUGAAAAGAGAACAGCAGAGCUACAUUUUGGGAUACCUACUGAAAUAAGAUGAGCACAAUGAUAAAGCAGGUAUUCUUGCUGCCCACCUUUUCAUUUAGAAUAUUUUUUCUAAGGUAAAUGUUUUGUAUACUGGUAGAAUUUUUUUUUUGCUAGACACAAAAAUACAACACUAAAAAAUA